rnacentral:tRNA from 2 species
CAGCUAAUAGUUUAUUAUAAAAUAUAAUCUUUGGAGGUUUAAGAUGUAUUAUCAUACUUUGCUGA